UACGAAGGGGGCUAGCGUUGUUCGGAAUUACUGGGCGUAAAGCGCACGUAGGCGGAUUUGUAAGUCAGGGGUGAAAUCCCGGGGCACAACCUCGGAACUGCCUUUGAUACUGCAAGUCUCGAGUCCGAUAGAGGUGAGUGGAAUUCCUAGUGUAGAGGUGAAAUUCGUAGAUAUUAGGAAGAACACCAGUGGCGAAGGCGGCUCACUGGAUCGGUACUGACGCUGAGGUGCGAAAGCGUGGGGAGCAAACAGG
rnacentral:rRNA from 1 species